rnacentral:rRNA from 1 species
ACCCGCCGAAUUUAAGCAUAUAAUUAAGCGGAGGAAAAGAAACUAACAAGGAUUCCCCUAGUAACGGCGAGUGAAAA